rnacentral:rRNA from 1 species
UACGAGCCUUGCUAACGUUAUUCGGAAUUACUGGGCUUAAAGGGUGCGUAGGCUGUGCAGAAAGUUGGGUGUGAAAUCCCUCGGCUUAACCGAGGAAUUGCACUCAAAACUACUGUGCUAGAGGAAUACAGAGGUAAGCGGAACUUCGGGUGGAGCGGUGAAAUGCGUUGAUAUCCGAAGGAACACCGGUGGCGAAAGCGGCUUACUGGGUAUUUUCUGACGCUGAUGCACGAAAGCUAGGGUAGCUAACGGG